rnacentral:rRNA from 2 species
AUAAAGUGUUCAAGCAGGCAGAAUUUAUCAUCUGCCACCGAAUACAUUAGCAUGGGAUAAUGGAAUAGGACCCUGUCCUCCUAUUUUUACGUGUGUUGGUUUUCGAGGACCAGGGUAAUGAUUAAUAGGGAUAGUUGGGGGCAUUAAUAUUUAAUUGUCAGAGGUGAAAUUCUUGGAUUUAUGAAAGAUUAACUUCUGCGAAAGCAUCUGCCAAGGAUGUUUUCAUUAAUCAAGAACGAAAGUUAGGGGAUCGAAGACGAUCAGAUACCGUCGUAGUCUUAACCAUAAACGAUGCCGACCAGCGAUUAGGAGACGUUGAAUACAAAACACCACCAUCAGGCGGUCGCCCUUGGCCAACGGGCCGCCGUUCACGCGGCGGUUCUUGGCGGGGGCGGUCCGUUUUCCUGAUGGCCCGGGGAAUGACUCCCCUACAAGUUUGGGAAAA